rnacentral:rRNA from 1 species
UAGACGUAGUUGAUCAUGGCUACAGAACGAACGCUGGCGGCGCGCCUUAACACAUGCAAGUCGAACGAGAAUCCGGGGCAACCCGGUAGUAAAGUGGCAAACGGGUGAGGAAUACAUGGGUAACCUACCCUUGAGAAGGGAAUAACCCGCCGAAAGGUGAGCUAAUACCCUAUACGCUAUCUUUUUUUCGAAAAGGAUAGGAAAGCCGGGUCGAGGACCUGGUACUCAAGGAGGGGCUCAUGUCCUAUCAGCUUGUUGUGGGGUAACGGCCUACCAAGGCUACGACGGGUAGCUGGUCUGAGAGGAUGAUCAGCCACACUGGGACUGAGACACGGCCCAGACUCCUACGGGAGGCAGCAGUGGGGAAUAUUGGACAAUGGGGGAAACCCUGAUCCAGCUACGCCGCGUGGGUGAUGAAGGCCUUCGGGUUGUAAAGCCCUGUCGAGGGGGACGAAGUUCUGACGGUACCCCUCAAGAAAGCACCGGCUAACUCCGUG